GAAGGGUGCAAGCGUUAUUYGGAAUUAUUGGGSGUAAAGGGUGCGCAGGCGGCMUGYUAAGUCAGCUGUUUAAUUYCUCGGCCUAACUGAGRGUCAGCAGCUGAUACUGGUGUGCUAGAGGGUGGAAGAGAGAAGUGGAAUUCUCGGAGUAGCGGUAAAUGCGUAGAUCUCGAGAGGAACACCAAUGGCGAAGGCAGCUUCUUGGUCCACACCUGACGCUCAUGCACGAAAGCGUGGGGAGCAAACAGGAUUAGAUACCCUGGUAGUCCACGCUGUAAACGAUGAUCACUAGACGUUAUUUCUGCUCUGCAGAAAUAGUGUCGUAGCUAACGCGUUAAGUGAUCCGCCUGGGGAGUACGGUCGCAAGAUUA
rnacentral:rRNA from 1 species